rnacentral:lncRNA from 7 species
AGACCCCUCCAGCCCUCAGCCAGGACUUGUCACAGCCACUGAACUCACUGCCAUGUUGUUCCUUGCAUCAUCAGACAAAAGCAGUGCUAGAGAGGAGGACAAGAGUUCAAAGCCCGUCACAAAAGGGCCUCUCACAAAAAGUAAGGAGUUUUGUCCUGUGGGGCUGCCAGCCUUUGAAGCCAAGCAGUUCAUUUUCCCCUUGGAAUUCAUCUUCUGGACCAGGAUGCACUAAAGGAGAGGCGACCUGCUGUAGAUAACGGUUCCUUUCUAAUGCCUUCCUAGAAAAUCUCUCGUUAAUGAGCCCAUUAAUUUAAUGGCGGCUGGGGCAAAUCAUCCAGAGAGAACACUUCAGUUGCAAUCUGCAUGCCCCACCUUAUAUUCUUGAGAAUGAGCUCUGCAAACACAUCAGGAAAAGGGAAGAGCACAUCAUUGGCAAUUCAAGGAACAGAGGAUGCUCUGUCACCUAAAGAGCUUUUAUUUACCUGUGAGACUGCAACAGCAGCAGGCCUUGUGCCAUGCAGCAGAUAUUUGUGCUUGGAAGAUGCCUUUAUCAAGCUCUAGCCCAGGAGAAUCAAAGCUUACAUCACUUCCACCCUUAGGUUACUAAACCAGUCCUGGGUUGCUAUGCAUGUUGGUGGGAGCUGCUCUCUGUGCUGCUGCCCUCUCCUUGGCUUUGACUCACCGACCAUCCUCACCUCUGGGAAGAGGUGAACUUCACCCCUAACCCGUGUGCCCAAGGUCAGGCAGAAGGACUGGGUCUCUGUGUUGCUCAGCCUCCCCUGUCCUUUCUCUCCUAUCCACCAUUGGAGAUCAAGCUGUGACUGCUGUUCCUCUGCUGGCUACAUGCAAAUGGAAACUAUCACCAUAACAGCACCUUGCUCCUUUAAAUUGCUUCCAGGAUUUUUGUGCAUCAGUGACUCAGUACCAUAUUUCAAUACAGCAAACUUUAAAGGUGCUUAAUACAUUUUAUAAAAAAAAAAGAUAAUUGCAAAAAAAUAAGCACUGAUGUUAGCUUAGGAGAAAAUCUUUUAAAGUGUUUUUGUUUUGCUAACAGAAUGCUGCUAUGUAUUAUUCAUUACAGCUUCUGAGAUUUAAUUAUUAUUAGUGCAACUGAUGAUUGCUAGAAAAAUAAACUGUAGCAGAAG